GCACGACUAGAACAAUAUUACAAUAAGGGGAACGAAGCCAAACCGGGCUGUAAAAAGCCAUAAGCCCCACUAACACCCACCCCAUACAAUAUAAUUUCAACUCGUGAAAACAGGAACACAAACUAAGAUUAGAUACCUUACUAUGCCUAACCUAACAUGCAAUUAAAACACUAAUUGCUCGCCAAAUAACUACGAGUAAAAACUUAAAAUUUAAAAGACUUGACGGUACUUCACACCGCCCUAGAGGAGCCUGUCUAAUAACCGACACCCCACGAUUAACCCAACCCACCCUAGCCCAACAGUCUAUAUACCGCCAUCGCCAGCUCACCUUGUAAAAGAAACAUAGCGAGCCCAAAAGCAUCCACCACUAACACGAUAGGUCGAGGUGUAACUAAUGGGUGGGAUCAGAUGGGCUACAUUUUCUAAUAUAGAAAAUACGAAUAGACUAUGAAAGUAGAAACUGAAGGAGGAUUUAGCAGUAUGUUGAGGACAAAAUGCUCAACCGAAAUAAACGCAAUGAAGUGCGUACACACCGCCCGUCAUCCCUGCCUAAACAUUAAUAAACUCUAUAAAUCAACAUAACCAACAAACAGGGCAAG
rnacentral:rRNA from 1 species